rnacentral:misc_RNA from 1 species
GGCGAUCUGGCCUUCCUACAAGGGAAGGCCAGGGAAUUGCC